GACGAACGCUGGCGGCGUGCUUAACACAUGCAAGUCGAACGGAAAGGCCCUGCUUUUGUGGGGUGCUCGAGUGGCGAACGGGUGAGUAACACGUGAGUAACCUGCCCUUGACUUUGGGAUAACUUCAGGAAGCUGGGGCUAAUACCGGAUAGGAGCUCCUGCUGCAUGGUGGGGGUUGGAAAGUUUCGGCGGUUGGGGAUGGACUCGCGGCUUAUCAGCUUGUUGGUGGGGUAGUGGCUUACCAAGGCUUUGACGGGUAGCCGGCCUGAGAGGGUGACCGGCCACAUUGGGACUGAGAUACGGCCCAGACUCCUACGGGAGGCCGCAGUGGGGAAUAUUGCACAAUGGGCGGAAGCCUGAUGCAGCAACGCCGCGUGCGGGAUGACGGCCUUCGGGUUGUAAACCGCUUUCGCCUGUGACGAAGCGUGAGUGACGGUAAUGGGUAAAGAAGCACCGGCUAACUACGUG
rnacentral:rRNA from 1 species